rnacentral:pre_miRNA from 1 species
UGCUUUCGGCAGGGGUUUCUUUCGGCCUUCAGCUUUCUCUAGACUGUAGGCCGGCGGAAACUACUUGCUGACGCUA